GAUGAACGCUGGCGGCGUGCCUAACACAUGCAAGUCGAGCGAACGGACGAGAAGCUUGCUUCACUGAUGUUAGCGGCGGACGGGUGAGUAACACGUGGAUAACCUACCUAUAAGACUGGGAUAACUUCGGGAAACCGGAGCUAAUACCAGAUAAUAUUUUGAACCGCAUGGUUCAAAAGAGAAAGACGGUCUUGCUGUCACUUAUCGAUGGAUCCGCGCUGCAUUAGCUAGUUGGUAAGGUAACGGCUUACCAAGGCAACGAUGCCUAGCCGACCUGAGAGGGUGAUGGGCCACACUGGAGCUGAGACACGGUCCAGACUCCUACGGGAGGCAGCAGUAGGGAAGCUUCCGCAAUGGGCGAAAGCCUGACGGAGCAGCGGCGCGUGAGUGAUGAAGGUCUUCGGAUCGUAAAACUCUGUUAUUAGGGAAGAACAUAUGUGUAAGUAACUGUGCACAGCUUGACGGUACCUGAUCAGGAAGCCACGGCUAACUACGUG
rnacentral:rRNA from 1 species